rnacentral:misc_RNA from 1 species
UUAACUAUUGUAUAGUACUCAGACGACACUAACAUUCAGAGUUUAUAGGGCCUUCGGCGGGCCUGGCGGCCCGCCAAAGCAACGACGGUAACGAUAACAGUGGGUGGGAGAUCUACCCGUUAGGGCGAGAACUCUGUAAUGAUCCCUCCGCAGGUUCACCUACGGAGA